GAUGAACGCUGGCGGCGUGCCUAAUACAUGCCAGUCGAGCGAACAGACGAGGAGCUUGCUCCUCUGACGUUAGCGGCGGACGGGUGAGUAACACGUGGAUAACCUACCUAUAAGACUGGGAUAACUUCGGGAAACCGGAGCUAAUACCGGAUAACAUGUUGAACCGCAUGGUUCAACAGUGAAAGACGGUCUUGCUGUCACUUAUAGAUGGAUCCGCGCCGCAUUAGCUAGUUAGUAAGGUAACGGCUUACCAAGGCAACGAUGCGUAGCCGACCUGAGAGGGUGAUCGGCCACACUGGAACUGAGACACUGUCCAGACUCCUACGGGAGGCAGCAGUAGGGAAUCUUCCGCAAUGGGCGAAAGCCUGACGGAGCAACGCCGCGUGAGUGAAGAAGGUCUUCGGAUCGUAAAACUCUGUUAUUAGGGAAGAACAAAUGUGUAAGUAACUAUGCACGUCUUGACGGUACCUAAUCAGAAAGCCACGGCUAACUACGUG
rnacentral:rRNA from 1 species